rnacentral:rRNA from 1 species
AUGAGCAGAGCAGCCUCCCAGGACAGGGCGGUGACGAUGUCGAGCCAGCCCUCGCCGCUGUCGUCUUCCCGUGGCAAGGAGAUGCCGGCGGACGCUAGGAACCGGGUGGUGAGCAUCUUGAGCUGCCUGUCCAUGGCCUUGAGCAUCCCCGUGUGCCGCUCCUCCCUGGGGCUAGGACUCGGGCUGGGUUCAGAGUCACUGGAGCUCGGCUGCCCCCAACUGAUACCAUCAUGCCAUUCAUCAUCAUCGUCGUCGUCGUCAUCAUCAUCAUUUGUGUGCACAUCCAAAUGUUUGGUAUCAUCAUCGUUGCUGGCCGCCUCUGGCGGCACCCAGACGGCAUCACCCUCCUCGGCGCCGGUGAAUUCAGCGGCACCGUCAGAGUCGUCGGCAUGCUUGGCGGUUGCUUGGUACGCCGGCAGCAGGAAAUGGACACGGUUGUGUUUACCGUCGACGCUGCCCUCCCUGCAACAGCAGAUACAGAUACAGAUACAUGUAUAUUAUCACCUCAGAACCAAACAUAUAUAG